rnacentral:tRNA from 1 species
GCCUUUGUGGUGUAGUGGUCAGCACGCUCGACGCGUAACCGAGAGAUCCAUGGUUCGAUUAUCGGCGAAGGCG